AAUUAAAUGGCCGCGGUAAAUUAACCGUGCAAAGGUAGCAUAAUAAAUAGUCUUUUAAUUGAAGGCUUGAAUGAAUGAUUGGAUGAAAUGUUAACUUAAUUAAUAUUAAAAAUUGAAAUUAAUUCUUAAGUAAAAAAGCUUAAAUAUAUGAAUGGGACGAGAAGACCCUAUAGAAUUUUAAAAAUUUUUUGAAUAAAUUAAUUUUAGUUAAAUGAUUUUUUUUUUAUUUAAAAAAUUUUUUUGUUGGGGUGACAUUAAAAUUUAAAUAACUUUUAAUAUAUAAUUCAUUAAUAUAUGUUGCUUUUGAUCCAAAUUUUUGAUUGUAAGAUUAAAUUACCUUAGGGAUAACAGCGUAAUUAAUUUAGAGAGUUCAUAUCGAUGAAAAUGAUUGCGACCUCGAUGUUGGAUUAAGAAUAGAAAUUGGAGCAAAAUUUAUUAUUU
rnacentral:rRNA from 1 species